UGGGGAAUAUUGGACAAUGGGGGCAACCCUGAUCCAGCCAUGCCGCGUGAGUGAUGAAGGCCUUCGGGUUGUAAAGCUCUUUUGGCGGGGACGAUGAUGACGGUACCCGCAGAAUAAGCCCCGGCUAACUUCGUGCCAGCAGCCGCGGUAAGACGAAGGGGGCUAGCGUUGUUCGGAAUUACUGGGCGUAAAGCGAGUGUAGGCGGUUGCCGUAGUCAGGUGUGAAAGCCUUGAGCUCAACUCAAGAAAUGCACUUGAUACUGGGUGACUAGAGGACCGGAGAGGAUAGUGGAAUUCCCAGUGUAGUGGUGAAAUACGUAGAGAUUGGGAAGAACACCAGUGGCGAAGGCGGCUAUCUGGACGGUUACUGACGCUAAGACUCGAAAGCGUGGGGAGCAAACAGGAUUAGAUACCCUGGUAGUCCACGCCGUAAACGAUGGGUGCUAGACGUUGGCGAGCUUGCUCGUCAGUGUCGCAGCUAACGCGUUAAGCACCCCGCCUGGGGAGUACGGCCGCAAGGUUGAAAUCAAAUNAAUUGACGGGGUCUAGCUG
rnacentral:rRNA from 1 species